rnacentral:rRNA from 1 species
CAGCACGGGCUUCGGCCUGGUGGCGAGUGGCGAACGGGUGAGUAAUACAUCGGAACGUGCCCUGUAGUGGGGGAUAACUAGUCGAAAGAUUAGCUAAUACCGCAUACGACCUGAGGGUGAAAGCGGGGGACCGCAAGGCCUCGCGCUACAGGAGCGGCCGAUGUCUGAUUAGCUAGUUGGUGGGGUAAAGGCCUACCAAGGCGACGAUCAGUAGCUGGUCUGAGAGGACGAUCAGCCACACUGGGACUGAGACACGGCCCAGACUCCUACGGGAGGCAGCAGUGGGGAAUUUUGGACAAUGGGGGCAACCCUGAUCCAGCAAUGCCGCGUGUGUGAAGAAGGCCUUCGGGUUGUAAAGCACUUUUGUCCGGAAAGAAAUGGCUCUGGUUAAUACCCGGGGUCGAUGACGGUACCGGAAGAAUAAGCACCGGCUAACUACGUGCCAGCAGCCGCGGUAAUACGUAGGGUGCGAGCGUUAAUCGGAAUUACUGGGCGUAAAGCGUGCGCAGGCGGUUUUGUAAGACAGGCGUGAAAUCCCCGAGCUCAACUUGGGAAUGGCGCUUGUGACUGCAAGGCUAGAGUAUGUCAGAGGGGGGUAGAAUUCCACGUGUAGCAGUGAAAUGCGUAGAGAUGUGGAGGAAUACCGAUGGCGAAGGCAGCCCCCUGGGACGUCACUGACGCUCAUGCACGAAAGCGUGGGGAGCAAACAGGAUUAGAUACCCUGGUAGUCCACGCCCUAAACGAUGUCAACUAGUUGUUGGGGAUUCAUUUCUUCAGUAACGUAGCUAACGCGUGAAGUUGACCGCCUGGGGAGUACGGUCGCAAGAUUAAAACUCAAAGGAAUUGACGGGGACCCGCACAAGCGGUGGAUGAUGUGGAUUAAUUCGAUGCAACGCGAAAACCUUACCUACCCUUGACAUGCCACUAACGAAGCAGAGAUGCAUCAGUGCCCGAAAGGGAAGGUGGACACAGUGCUGCAUGGCUGUCGUC